CUCUUCUCGGGGAAGGAUAAAGUUGAGGAUAUCUCCUGCGUGGUGUCUGCCACCGUUUCUCAAUGGCUGGACGGCCUCGUUGAAAGCGUUUCAGGCUCGGCCGGUCCUCAGAACCUGUGCUGCUUGGACAAUGGCGUGCUGUCCCAGCCCGUGCCGGAGAGACAACGUCCUGGCCUGGCUGUUGUGUUCGGACCCCUCACAUGUGCUGGAAGCCCUGGGGGUCUUGUGUGCACUCGCUCAGGAAAGUAGACGUGCUCUGGUGGAGCAGAUCCUGCGGGAGUCCAGCAGAAAGCAGUGUGCUGUGGUUCUGACCACGCUGCUGCGGUCACCCGACCCCUGGCUGUGCAGCAGUGCAGCUUACAUCUUCGGGGCACUGCUGGAAAACGAGGCUCUAGUGCAAGAACUGCAGGAGUGGACCCCGGGAGACAACAAUCCUGUGGGCCUCUUAGCACAGCUUUUGGCCAGAGAUGACCCUAACACCGUGAUGUACAGUGCUGGCGCUGUGGCUUCUCUGGCUGAAAGCUCAGAGGGACGCAAAUGGCUCCUGAAACGAGAUGAUAUCUGCCGGCAGGUUCUGGACCAUCUGCCUCAACUUUUGGAAAAUAUAAGGGACAGCACAGUGAACUCGGCUGCGUUAAUCCUUGCACGCCUGUGCCUCUGUGAGGUGGCCUGCCAGAGCCUUUUGAGCCACUCCUCUGCCGCCGACACCAUCAAACGCCUGGUACAGUGCCUGGGCCACGGCCACACUGACACAGCAAUGAAUGCUGCCUUUGCAGUAGGUCGUUUGUGUGGAAGUGAACUGGGCAGAACCCUCAUCCUGGCAGAGGCCAGAGAACACAAGUUGGUCAGCAGUCUACAGACGCUGUUGUGCAAGGAGGCGGGGCCAGACGCAGGGCAGACGGCCUGCUUUGCCUUGAGUUGCCUGGCAACUGACACGGAUGGACAUACCUUACUCCUAGAUAGCCCUUCCUUUCCCAGCGUGCUGGAUGGCCUUUUCCAGCUUUUAUUAAGAAAGGAGCCUGAUUGUGCUUGGUUUGCAGCCAUGACAGUAAAAGUGUUCGUGUCACGGCCCUCUGGAGUCCUACGAGUGAGACAACACAGGCUUUUAGAGCAACAGCUGCAGUCUCUGUCCAGUUGUCCUUUCCUGGGGCUUGAGCUCCAGGAGGAGGUGAAUGGCUGUCUGAGAAAACUGCAGCGGCUACCAAAGCCCUUUCCAGUGAGGGUUAACCGCUUAAUCCAGGGGUCAUAUGCAGUGACGUGGGAGCCAUGUGUCCCUGAGAGUGGCCUUGAGGUCACGUAUAGCCUUCUGAACAAAGACAGCAUUCUAUACUGUGGCCCCAUGUGUCACAUGACUAUUCCACCUUCUCUCCUGGCUUCUGGGAAGACCCUUUUUCUGCAGCUCAAGCUAUCCACCUCUGAUGGGGACACCAGUCCCUGUAGUGAGCCUGCGGUCUUUGAAACAGAAAAGGUGAGGCAGAGGCCGGGCCCUCCACGUGAGCUGCUUGUGAUUGGCUGCACAGCCACACAAGUGCGGCUAAGAUGGAUUGCACCUGAAGGGGAGGUGAAGCCAAAAAAGUAUCGUAUUUUCCGUGAAAACGUGCUACUGGAAACUACAGGUGAACUAGGGGUGAUUGUGGGUGGACUGUCCCCGGGUACCCACUACCAUCUCCGGGUGUGUGCAGUUGGACCAGGGGAUAUGCUUGGUCCAGGUGCUGAGGUGCAGGUCCACACAGUUGAAUUUCAGGACCAUGCUCCCAGCACUUUAUCGGUGGCGGUACUGGGUCGGCAUGAACUGCACAUUAGUUGGGGCGCCCCUGUAGUGCCCCUGGGUCGCCUGUUCAACUACGAGGUGAGAAUAAACGGCAGUGUGGCUUACCUAGGCACUGAGCGGGUAUACACGGCUCGCCGACUCUCCGUCAACACUGCAUACACGUGCGUUGUCACUGCCAUCACCUCCAGGGGGCGUUGUCAGAGCCGCCCCAUCACCAAGAGGACUGCCAGGUGUCAGUACUAUCCCAACCGCCAAGUCCCAGUUCAGACAGCUAACCCAGCCAAAGCCAUUAAAGAGCCCAGUGAGGUCAGUGGAAAGGUCCGGAAGCCUCCCUCUUCACUUGGUCGUCUGCCGGGGUUGCUACAUACACCCAGCCAACCUGAGGACGUGGCCCAGGCCACAGAUGGAAGCAGGAUACUUUCAGGGCCCACGCAUCAUAAUCACAAGAAAGGCAGUAACUCCAAAAAGAGGACGGUGGAGCCUGUGGCUGGGCUUCAAUCAGGGCAAAGACCUCAGAAGACUGCAGAUACCAAUGAGAACCCUGGGAGUGUUUCUCACAAACCCGUACGCUCAAGGGCCGAGCUUGACCUUCUAACCAGUCAUUCGCUAUGUCAGAAACACACACUUUUACGGGCAAAAACCAACCCAGGGAUGGUGCUGCCGUGGAAAGCACAGAAAGGAGAGCAACAGGACAAGGGCAGAUUUCCUCUCAUAAACUCCCAUAGUAUGUUCGCCACACCUCUGACUGUGACGUUCUGUACUGAGCAGAAGCGGUGAGGAUUGUACAGCCUGUGUCAUAUACUUGGACAGAACUGGACUGGAGAGGACACCUACCAAGCAGACUACUUAGAGACAGACAAACAGGAUCAAGACCUCAUUGUCACCAUGCUGGGAGGCAUUGUUUUGCUAGUAAAGUUGAGUGACCAUGAGAGGAUUUGGAAAGUUGUGUGACACAUUGUGAUAUGUCUGUGUAUGCAUGUACUGUGUAUUUUACUGUGCAAAAGUCACUUUUUAUCUAAUGUUUAACAAAUAUUGAUUUAUCUAAACUGUUUAUUGCAGUAUGUCCUUAUUUUUCAUUAAACAAUGACAGUAUGUUUUAGAGACUUCUAUAUCAUAUUGUUCUCUGAGCAACAAUACAAUAUUGUUUUCCAUCUGUAGACUUUUGCUUGUAACAGAGACCAUUCUUUAGUUUAUAGAGUUGGGUGAGAACUUGUAGCACAUCUCUAGAUAUCGACAGUUUUUCUCAAAUCUAAAUUAUUGCCACUUUUUUUUAAAUAAUAAUGAUUCAGAGUUUAAUUGAACCCCUUUAAUUAGCAUCACUACUGCCUAAAACUUUUGCACAGUACUGCAUAUUGUAGAACUGCAUUGUAUGUAAUUUAUUGUGUCAUGUAAUAAAGUAAUGAAAGAUUUUGCAUGAGAAAAAGACUUAAAAAUAAUGUAUAUUAAGAUAUGAACGUUAUUUAAUUAAUAAUUUGUGCAUAUCGUAUAUUAUAUCAUAUAGCAAAAAUAUAAUGUUUUAAUUACAUUGAAGACUCACACAUAGACAGCAGCCUGGCUGGAAUUUUAAGCCAGGUCCGCAAGAAACACAAUAUUAAGAGUUUUUGUGGAAAUUCCAUAUUGGAGAUGUUAUAUUAUAAAUGAUUUUCCAAUGCACUGACACCUCCCGGCCACACGGAGGCGAGCUCUGCUGGAACCUCCUCUUGGUGGAUCCCUUGUCUUCUGUUUGCGGAACUCGGUCCACGGGUUACGUAGCAGGGCGACUCGUCUUUUUCGCCCGCGGGAUGGUCAACCUGGGCGUCCGCAAGGUCGACGACGAGCUGGCCGCCAAGCGUCCGGGCCUGCAGCAGUACGCCGCCUGCCAGUCCCACGCGUUCAUGAAGGGAGUGGGGACGUUUAUUCUGGGUGAGAGCGACCACGUUUCAUAUCUGCAUGCAACCCCUGGAAAGGGGGGAAUUCACGUGUUUUCUACCCCAGAGAUCAGCGAAGUUGAGCAGCGACCUCUAGUGUUCCUACUGGGUACGGGCGCGCUGUUUUCUGUCCAGGCAGCUGUACAGAGGAGAAUUCCUUACCCUUUUCAAUGGAACUUGCUAAUAUCAAUAGUGGGCUCAUCGGUUGGCAGCUAUGCAGUGACCCGACGGGAAACCCAGAAGUGUUCGGACUUAUGGAUCUUUCUUGAGACGGGAAGAUACCCAGGCCAGACACCUGAGCAGGAGGAAACUGCUCAUUCAACUGAAUCUCCUCAACCUAAAGUCACAGUGUAUGGGGAUGUGAUGGACUGACAGGAGACAUUUUGCAUCAAUACAUUUUAUUAUUAAUUUUUUUUUGUGAAUCUGCUGAUCAUUGUUCAUAAGCAAUCAUAUCUUAUUCCCCAGAAUGUAAUUUUUAAUCAAAUCAAAUUAAACCACAUCUGCCCCCCCUAUAUAUAUGGUUGCAGUUCUAUCAAUUUCUUCAGCUAAUCUCUCAGUAUAACGUGUUGCUCUUAGUGUGUAUAACCUGUGUGGCCUAAAUUGCACUGGUAAGAUUUCAGGCGACAGCUGUGGUUUUCAGGGUGCUGUGCAUUCAAAAGAUAAUCUGCAAAGUGAAUCAUGUAAUGUGGAUUAAUUUUGAGGUUUAAGGACGUGUGUUUUGCUGCUUGGAACAGCAAGAUUUACAAAAGCUUGCACACAGAGAUCAAAGAUUAAACACAAUAGCCAAACAUGGAGAUCAAAGGAGGUCAGCAAUGCCAAGUGAACAAUCUGUACCAGGAUGCUCUUCAGGAGAUAUUUCCCACAUAAUAGAGCGGAUGGGCUAAAAAAAGAGAGGGUUAAGGAAGCGCCCCAUAAUCAGAAGGUUGUGGGUUCGAAUCCCGAUCCACCAAGGUGCCACUGAGCAAAGCACCGUCCCCACACACUGCUCCCCGGGCGCCCUUCAUGGCUGGUUAAAUUCAGAGGACACAUUUCUCUGUGUGCACCAUGUGUUGUGCUGCAGUGUUUCACAAUCACUUCACUUGAAUAAACUGAAAACAAAACAACA
ensembl:lncRNA uncharacterized LOC114787132